rnacentral:lncRNA from 1 species
GCCACAGGGGCGGGUGGCCGUCUCCAGCAGGCAGAGCCCCCAGUGGGCCACGCUCACAGCUGGUGUUCGGAUCCGGGCCCCGGGCCUGGUGCCCGCUUCCCUUUCUCUCUUCCACCUGGGCCUUUCCACAGACGCCCCCUUCCCCCAGGCCGGCUUAGCCUUGAAUGACACACCUGGUGAAAGUUAAGUUAAAUAUAACAUUGAUUUGAUUUGAAUGAAAACACCUGCGGCUUCUGAAGGCACCACCACCUGACGUGUGACCCCCAUGGACGGACAGGUGACCCCUCCCCCUUCUGUCUCCCUUCCCUCCCCUGCGGGCACCCGGGGCUAGAGCUUGAGCUCCUGCAGGGCGGUGCUGGGGGCUAGAGCUUGAGCUCCUGCAGGGCGGUGCUGGGGCGAUCACACGCACAGCACAGCUUCUGCCUGCGCGCGAGAGGCAGGAGAGCGCCCUGCCUUGGGGCGCAGGGGGUGGUCCCGGCGUCCCUGUGCCCUCAGAGGCCACCUAAGCUCCAGAGCCUCCGUUUCCUCGUCUGUAAAGUGCAGUCGCCCCGAAGCCGGGAGGACCGCCUUCCAGUGGGCCUGGAAAUCAUCGCCUCCAGGGGGAUUUCUAGCAGCUGCUGAUGUUUUCUGAGCUCACCGCCCCAUCCGUGUGUCACUGAAGGGCUUGUUUCCUCGCCACCCUUGCCGUUCUUUCCUGUCCCCCUCAUUCUUAAUCUCGCUGCCCACCGAUUUGACAUCUGAAAGCAUUUCAAGAUGUUUUUCUUCUGAGACUCAGCAGACAGUCUGCCUUGUUUUCCCGUGAGGCUCCGAUCGCUGGGCCAGGUCCUCUGGCUCCUCCUGAGUGUCUGGGAGAGACAAAGUCAGUGGAAGUUAGGAGGUGAAGUGUGCUCCAGAGAUGAGGCUGAAAAAAAUUUCUGAAAUAACUUUUGUUAUCCUUUGGCUGAAAAUAAUGACUGUUUUGGGGGUUAAGCGACAAGAUUGAGGCCUCCUUUCAAAAAGCAAGUCGUCCUUGUGCUGUGAUCAUGAACGUCCGGCAGGCGCAGCCCCAAGGACGAGUGCAGCUGGGGGUGCUGGGCUUCGAGGCCUUCAAGAGCUCCUUGUUCUUCAAAUGCUGCGGCUUAG